rnacentral:rRNA from 1 species
CCUACGGGUGGCAGCAGUGGGGAAUAUUGCACAAUGGGGGAAACCCUGAUGCAGCGACGCCGCGUGAAGGAAGAAGUAUUUCGGUAUGUAAACUUCUAUCAGCAGGGAAGAAAAUGACGGUACCUGACUAAGAAGCCCCGGCUAACUACGUGCCAGCAGCCGCGGUAAUACGUAGGGGGCAAGCGUUAUCCGGAUUUACUGGGUGUAAAGGGAGCGUAGGCGGUUUAGCAAGUCAGAAGUGAAAGCCCGGGGCUCAACUCCGGGACUGCUUUUGAAACUGUUGAACUAGAGUGCAGGAGAGGUAAGUGGAAUUCCUAGUGUAGCGGUGAAAUGCGUAGAUAUUAGGAGGAACACCAGUGGCGAAGGCGGCUUACUGGACUGUAAAUGACGCUGAGGCUCGAAAGCGUGGGGAGCAAACAGGAUUAGAUACCCUAGUAGUC